rnacentral:rRNA from 1 species
CGACGACGGCUAUACUGCAGUCGAGCGGGGUUAGUUAGAAGCUUGCUUCUAACUAACCUAGCGGCGGACGGGUGAGUAACACGUAGGCAACCUGCCCACAAGACAGGGAUAACUACCGGAAACGGUAGCUAAUACCCGAUACAUCCUUUUCCUGCAUGGGAGAAGGAGGAAAGGCGGAGCAAUCUGUCACUUGUGGAUGGGCCUGCGGCGCAUUAGCUAGUUGGUGGGGUAAAGGCCUACCAAGGCGACGAUGCGUAGCCGACCUGAGAGGGUGAUCGGCCACACUGGGACUGAGACACGGCCCAGACUCCUACGGGAGGCAGCAGUAGGGAAUCUUCCGCAAUGGGCGAAAGCCUGACGGAGCAACGCCGCGUGAGUGAUGAAGGUUUUCGGAUCGUAAAGCUCUGUUGCCAGGGAAGAACGCCUUAUAGAGUAACUGCUCUUGAAGUGACGGUACCUGAGAAGAAAGCCCCGGCUAACUACGUGCCAGCAGCCGCGGUAAUACGUAGGGGGCAAGCGUUGUCCGGAAUUAUUGGGCGUAAAGCGCGCGCAGGCGGCUCUUUAAGUCUGGUGUUUAAUCCCGAGGCUCAACUUCGGGUCGCACUGGAAACUGGGGAGCUUGAGUGCAGAAGAGGAGAGUGGAAUUCCACGUGUAGCGGUGAAAUGCGUAGAGAUGUGGAGGAACACCAGUGGCGAAGGCGACUCUCUGGGCUGUAACUGACGCUGAGGCGCGAAAGCGUGGGGAGCAAACAGGAUAGAUAUCACCCCGGUGUAACCAAA